GAUGAACGCUGGCGGCGUGCCUAAUACAUGCAAGUCGAGCGAACAGACGAGGAGCUUGCUCCUCUGACGUUAGCGGCGGACGGGUGAGUAACACGUGGAUAACCUACCUAUAAGACUGGGAUAACUUCGGGAAACCGGAGCUAAUACCGGAUAAUAUAUUGAACCGCAUGGUUCAAUAGUGAAAGACGGUUUUGCUGUCACUUAUAGAUGGAUCCGCGCCGCAUUAGCUAGUUGGUAAGGUAACGGCUUACCAAGGCAACGAUGCGUAGCCGACCUGAGAGGGUGGUCGGCCACACUGGAGCUGGGACACGGUCAAGACGCCUACGGGAGGCAGCAGUAGGGAAUCUGCCGCAAUGGGCGAAAGCCUGACGGAGCAACGCCGCGUGAGUGAUGGAGGUCUUCGGAUCGUAAAACUCUGUUAUUAGGGAAGAACAAAUGUGUAAGUAACUAUGCACGUCUUGACGGUACCUAAUCAGAAAGCCACGGCUAACUACGUG
rnacentral:rRNA from 1 species